AGCUCAGUUGGUAGAGCAAUGGACUGAAAAUCCAUGUGUCGCUGGUUCGAUUCCUGCC
rnacentral:tRNA from 1 species